UCCCGGGUAGCUCAGCGGUAGAGCAGUGCGCUGUUAACGCAUUAGUCGUCGGUUCGAAUCCGACCCCGGGAGCCA
rnacentral:tRNA from 1 species